GACGGAGGAUGCAAGCGUUAUCCGGAAUUAUUGGGCGUAAAGCGUCCGCAGGUGGCCUAUCAAGUCUGCUGUCAAAGACCGGGGCUUAACCCCAGAAAGGCAGUGGAAACUGAAAGGCUAGAGGAUGGUAGGGGCAGAGGGAAUUCCCAGUGUAGCGGUGAAAUGCGUAGAGAUUGGGAAGAACACCGGUGGCGAAAGCGCUCUGCUGGGCCAUAACUGACACUCAGGGACGAAAGCGUGGGGAGCGAACAGG
rnacentral:rRNA from 1 species